AGGCUCUUUAAGGAUGGGUUGACCUCUCUCUUCCUUUACAUGCUGGGAGUUAACUUCUCCUGGUCGUGCGGCGCUGCCCGAUCCCAGGGAGCGGGGAGACCCUGCGCCGCUGGAGCUUCCCCAAGCUGGGGAUGCCCUAGGGAAUCAGCCACACGGAGGUUUCGGGACGAUACGGAAAACAGCCAGGGAACGAAUGCAAAACCCAGUUUCUGUCCACACCGACUCUCCCAGGAGAUGAUUUCUUCCUUUCUUAGAGCAACUUUAUAUAGUUUAACUAGUCUGCACCAGGUAGUCCAGGCUUUUCCCCUUUCCAGUCCCCAUCUGCACGUUUACUUACCCCUGGCCCCUUUAGCUUUCUACCUCGGCCCCAUCAUGAGAUUUAUCGCCCCAGCACCCUUGGGAGGCAGGAGAAUUUCAUUUUACAGCUGCGGCCCAUGGACUAAGUCUCCCAGGGACUGAAACGACGACUCCCAAGAGGCGUCGAGUUGCUGGGCCCACGCGAUUAGCUCCAAACAGCCAAGGAGGGUUUUGGCAAAGCAGGGAAUUGAACACAGCUCUUCCCACAUCCCUGGCCAACAUCCUAAUCCCCGUUUAUCUUCCUCCCUCAAUUUUUUUGGAGCUUUUCACAGGGUAUAAAAUCAAGCCCAUGUCUAAGUCCUUGUAGGAUUAAACCAGUGCUACUGUAUCCCUUUAUUUAGGCCUAUUUAAGUGCACAGAUGUGCUUUGUGUAGCUCUAGGGCUGACGAAAUCCCAAAGACAAGUAAGAUUUGAGGACCAAAAACCAGAUUAUGAUUGUCAUACUGCCGUCUAAGACCCAGAGCCUCUCCGGGUAUCCCUGCCUGCCGGCGAGGUCUGAAAUCCAGCCCUUCCGGGAAGGAUUUUUGCUAACGCACAACAUGAUCACUACUUAAAAGGGAAUUGGAGCCAUAACCAUAUCUAAUGAGUGGGGUAGCAUCAUGGCAUAUCACUGUGCCACGGGAAAAGUGGGCUUAAAGCAGCGCUCUGCUGCGGGGGGAGACCAGGUCUCCGAGCGCUGCAGGGAGCCUCUGCCCACGCGACUUCAUCCCGCUCAGCGCAACGCCACUGCCCGGACCGACCGCGAGGACACGCAACGGCUGUGGCACAGGAGCUAAACUGAUGAAAAUACGCACAGCGAUGCAUCACGGUCAGGAGAAAUUGCAUGAGACCUCUGGAGACGGUCACCUAAUUAGUGCCACUAGCGUCCCUUGGCAGGCGCUGAAACGAUCCAGCACCGUCUACAGCCGCAUCUCUGCUUCCCCGGGGCUGGGGCUGCAGCCGGCACCGCAGCCGGGCUCCUGCAGCCGACGUGAGCCGCGGCCCCGCCGGGAGCUGAGCACCCUGCUCUUCACAGGGCCCCCAAACGCUGGCUCGAAGCUGGUGGUGAGCACGGUCUGCCACGGCGGCUGGUGCGCUGGGACCAGGGAGGGAGCAGCGCGGCCCCGAGGGCUAUGGACGUGCGAGAGGCGUUUUUUAUGAGCGAUUGCAGCCUUCUGGACUGCAGAAGAGAGGACGGCCCUUCCAGAGCCAGGCCGGUGCCUUUUAGAUGUAGCUGGACACGACGCAUCUCAGACGUCCACGUGCAGACGUCCUUUACUGGGGAAGUCUUCGUCCUUUCCAACUGUCUGGGACCAAGUCACCUCUCAUUUACCCAGCCCGAGUGAACAUGCUUUAACGAUUUCUCUGGCCUGGAAAGUCUCUGCUCGCUGUGGCUCCGCUCUGCUCCCGGGCAGGUGACACCAGAUGGCAGUAGUGGCCUUCCGAUCCCAGCAGCUCCGCCCGCUCCAAGGGAAGAUGCAGGGUGAGGAUUUCGCUGCAGCCUGGAGAUUUGCAGGACAGCUUCCCUCUAUGCUCUCGUCUGCUGGAGCUCCCUUCAGCACCCUGCCCAUCUGGGCUGUCAAAAUGUAAUUGCACUGGAUAUCUAUAUGCUGUAGUUGUUUGGUGUGUCAAAAUGACACCAAGACUCCGGCUUAAAAAGGCAAGAGAGAAAAUUCGUAGCUUGGGCUGUGCUUAAUUAAUCAUUUUGUCAUGGCUCUGAUGGCUUUGGAGCGGGACUGACAGGUAAAAGCAAUGAUAGGGAUUUUUGAAGGUCACAGGGAUUUUUGGGUGUCUGGUUGAAGUAACUGCUAGCUCUAAUCAUCUGUUGGGCUCCCAACUGAUCACGCAGAACUUGCAGCAUCCCCCAUUUUGUCCCCGGUCUCAUGGCGCUUUGAGAGAUGCUGGUGGAUGGCGCUGGGGAAUAUAUUUGGAAACAUGCUACCUAAAUGACUUUUUGCUGAGCUUUCCUCUCCUGGCUAAGGUGCAGCUCUGACUUCAUGCACAGCACCCAUAAAAGCUCCUGGGGAUUAUAAGCAAUUUGUAGCCCAAAGCUGUUCCUCCCUUCCUCUUCUCCCCCACCCUGCUGCAAGCAGGGUCCAGGACAGCCAGCUCCUGGAGGUCCCUUCCCUUUUCUGGGCUUGCACAAGACUUCAGGUCUUCCCGCAAGCAGAAAUUGCCAUGGCUAUUGCAGGCCAGGCCGAGCCGCUGCUGAGCCGGCUGGAGAUUCAGCUGUGACGUGCACAUCCCACAGACCAAGCCACCUACAGAGGAGGAGAGUUGAGGCGAGAUCCUCACAGAUCAGGUGAAGAUGGUUUUGGCUGGCUGUGUUUCAGAAGAGCUUCAGGACAGGUUAUGAACCAUAUGAACAUGCUUUGGGGUGAAAUAUUACUUAAUCAGCUUCCUUUGGAAAUAAAUCAAUGGAAGAAAGUUACAUUAGUUCUUUGGUCAGCAGUUUGUUCCCUUACUUUAAAUUACCACGUCGUAGUGCUUCAGUCUCCUGAAUGUUUCAUUUAUGGUGACACCCAAAUAUUUAUUGAUUUUUGUAUUGAUUUGGGGGCUAUCAAUUUACCUGUUAGCCACUGGGUUGCUCCAGGAAUUACUAGUGUACUAACUGCAGACAAAAAAACAAUAAAAACUUGAGUGACUGAUCAUUCCGCGUGUUUGGGCAAAGCAUGCCA